CAGCCGCACGCGCACAGAGUGAAGCGGGAAGCUUGUCUGGAGUCUCUCUCGAGCUGAUUUCAAACAGUAAAGAAGCAACGGCUUUUAUUUCAUUUGGCUUUUUGUUCUCUUUAACUACACUGAAUUUACCUCAGUUGUUGGUUAUUUAUUAUAUUAUUAUUCUAGAAACUGGAAGCGAGCGCUGACGAGACCAAGGAUGAAAAAGGAUUCGAGUCACUCGAGCGGUGCCGCUGCAGCCCAAAGCUAAGGUGGACAGCUGAGAUUGAACAAGACCUGAUUCCCUUUGUUUCUCAUUGAAACAGACGGCUGUUAGUAACUGCGCUGACGAGACCAAGGAUGAAAAAGGAUGAAAAAGGAUUCGAGUCACUCGAGCGGUGCCGCUGCAGCCCAAAGCUAAGGUGGACAGCUGAGAUUGAACAAGUCCUGAUUCCCUUUGUUUCUCAUUGAAACAGACGGCUGUUAGUAACUGGUUCGAGUCAUCAACGAAGGGUGAUGCAACAAGAAGCACAGAAGGGGGCGCCAAUCCACCACAGAGUCCGAGCCAACAGACUAAUAACCCUGAGACUUCCCCAGUCGAUUUGAGUGGAGAGAGAAGCGU